rnacentral:rRNA from 1 species
UACAUCGGUGACAGGGUGGUGCAUGGUUUGUCGUCAGCUCGUGUCGUGAGAUGUUGGGUUAAGUCCCGCAACGAGCGCAACCCCUGCCUUUAGUUGCCAGCGAGUCAUGUCGGGCACUCUAAGGGGACCGCCUCGGAUAACGGGGAGGAAGGUGGGGAUGACGUCAAGUCAGCAUGGCCUUUAUGUCCAGGGCCACACACGUGCUACAAUGGGCGGUACAAAGGGACGCAAGAUCGUAAGGUGGAGCUAAUCCUCAAAACCGUCCUCAGUUCGGAUCGAAGGCUGCAAUUCGCCUUCGUGAAGUCGGAAUCGCUAGUAAUCGCGGAUCAGCUACGCCGCGGUGAAUACGUUCUCGGGCCUU